rnacentral:rRNA from 1 species
GACGAACGCUGGCGGCGUGCUUAACACAUGCAAGUCGCGCGGAGCGGCGAACGGGUGAGUAACGCGUGAGUAACUGCCCCCCUCUCUGGGAUAACAGUUGGAAACGGCUGCUAAUACCGGAUAGUGGGGGAUGAUUCUUUUCCGAUCAGCUUGGUGGUGGGGUAGUGGCCUACCAGGGCGACGACGGGUAGCCGGCCUGAGAGGGCGACCGGCCACGUUGGGCUGAGAUACGGACCAAACUCCUACGGGAGGCAGCAGUGGGGAAUAUUGCACAAUGGGGGAAACCCUGAUGCAGCAACGCGCAUGCGAGAUGACGGCCUUCAGGUUGUAAACCGCUUUCAGCCAUGACGCGGUAGUGGCAGAAGAAGCACCGGCUAACUACGUGCCAGCCGCCGCGGUAAUAC